UACGUAGGGGGCAAGCGUUGUCCGGAAUCAUUGGGCGUAAAGAGCGUGUAGGCGGUCCGAUAAGUCCGCUCUGAAAGCCCGGGGCUCAACCCCGGGAGGCGGGCGGAUACUGUCGGGCUAGAGUCCGGAAGAGGCGAGUGGAAUUCCCGGUGUAGCGGUGAAAUGCGCAGAUAUCGGGAGGAACACCUAUGGCGAAGGCAGCUCGCUGGGACGUUACUGACGCUGAGACGCGAAAGCGUGGGGAGCAAACAGG
rnacentral:rRNA from 1 species